GUACAAGGUUACUGUAGUUUUCUUAUAGAAAAAUUUACCUACACUUAGUCAUCAUAGAUUCAAGAUACAGAUAUGUUAUAUUUUAUAUAUAGGUCUCAUCAUAGAUGGUGUGUGUCUAUAAUGGAUGGAGUUUAAGUAAGAAUUUUCUUUUCUUAUUUAAUUCUUAAGGAUAUUCAUGAAUAAAGAAAUAUAGCAAAGUUUUAUCAAAGUCUAGAGGUUGCUUCAAAAAGAAGAAAAAAAGCUUGUUUUAGGUCAUUUUAAGUUAAGCAAAUGAUGAGGUAAAUGUUCUUCGCUGAUCACUAUUAUUUAUUUGGAAUAAAGUCUGAAG
rnacentral:misc_RNA from 1 species